GGGCUGUUGGAGUAGCGGUCAACUCACCUGAUUCUCAAUCAGGAGAUCACGGGUUCGAAUCCCGUACGGCCUA
rnacentral:tRNA from 1 species